rnacentral:lncRNA from 1 species
GGAGUUCCCGUCGUGGCUCAGUGGUUAAUGAACCCAACUAGCAUCCAUGAGGAUGCAGGUUUGAUCCCUCGCCUUGUUCAGUGGGUUAUGGAUCAGGCGUUGCCAUGAGCUGUGGUGUAGUUUGUGAAUAGUCAUCUAGAAAAUUGGCUGAAAGCAAACUUUAUGUGAACUACACAAGCGAUGUUCUUCCCCUCAUUUGCCAGGAGCAAUUUAGAUGGGAUGGAAGUUUGGUUGUAUGUAUCUCUUUCUUUUUAAUGAUUUCUUUCACUGUUUACCUUCGAAGUGAGUCUUUUAAAAACAAUUAUAACAGUAUCUGGCUGCCUUGGAAAGGAAGGCUUUAUGUAUUCUGGAAGGGGUAGUUUUCCUUGAAGAAAUACAUUACCCAUCAACCACUUUCAGUCUGGAUACACACGCUGGGUGCCGUUAUGCAAAGCACACCAACAGGUUGCAGAGACAAGGCACGUUUUCAAACUGCACCUUCUGCUAAACUCUCCCAAGGCACAGUUCGCCCCAGCCCCUGUCUGUGCAGUUGAUGAAUGUACUUCAGGCAGGGCUUGGACAUGGCUCAGUACAGUUCUCUAAACGGUGAUAAAUGACCACCUUUGUGUGAAAUGGGUUAGGUGGGAGGGCCACCCUUUGACAAGGCAGAAAAUGAAAUGAUUACUAUUGGAUUCUAUUGACUUGUCUGGUUAGAACAGUUGUGCCUCUUCCUAGAGGUUAAUUGGACUUGAACUCAAGAAAUUAAGAGGUCAGCUGAGGUCACAGUGACAGCAGGCCCACUUUUAACUUGCUGCUAAUAACAUUUGGCAGAAGGAGGAUGAAUCUGGGAAUUUUAGUCUGGGUGCCGUUCAAUUUCUUUGAGAGUAAUGGUUUUCACAAAUUAUUAAAUAAACCUAAUUUUGUAUCACCUGCAAAAAUUCAGUGUUUUCAGUACUUACCAAGCACCCCUAUAUAACUGAAUUUUCUUGAAACAGUAAUCAUUAGAAUACUACAUAUUUUCUUGAAUAUAUAUAAUAUUCUUAAAAUAGUUUAUUUUAUCGAAGACUCUCCAUUGAGAAAUUUGGAUUUAAAAAGAAAAGAUUCAGAAGUGCUUGAAAAUGAUGUUCUAAUGUAGUUAUGGAGUCUGUCUUUUUACCCAAUACUAAAUGCUACCCAUUCUUAUCAUAAAAAAUGGAAGGAAAGCAGAGUAAGUAUUUUACAAUAUAUAGAGUAAGGCAUAUCCUAAUGUAUAAAUUCUCUGUAUCACAAAUAUGUUUGCAAGCUUAAGAUAUUUUGAUUUGAGAAUACAGUGAAACACCUGAAUUGUUACUGCUUCCUGAGAAGAUGUCCUUCCCUGUCUAGUCUGCCAGGCUUACUUCAACUUCGCUGUUCUGUUCUUGGUUACUUUACACUUCAGGGUCCCUUGCUUGAACUGACCCUGACACUUUCCCAUGUGGUACCAGCCACACCACUGCACCCACAUGGAGGCCAAGUGAGGGGCUGAGUCCCCAAGUGCUUUUCAAGGAGGAGGGGCAUGGUGGACAAUCAGCCACAAGGGAGACAUCGGAUGGGACUGGGCCGUGUCGUCCAGAUGGUGGGGAACAAGGCACAUCACCUAAUUAAUGGUGCUGCUCCAGCAGCUGUGUAACAGGGGCAACUUGAGGGAGGCAGGCAACAGCCCUGGGCGUAUGGCACUGAAGCUGCAUCCAGCAUCCAGCACUGUGAUCAGUUUGUGCCAAUCAGGUACUUGUACUGCAUACCCGAGACACUUGAGUACAAUGGAAAAAUGCUUUUGCUUCUUUGUCCUAAGGAUGAACCCCAAAGAAUCACACAGCUUUGAGAUCAUGGACACAGCUCCUUUUUUUCUCAGCUUUAUUGAGACAUGACAUAGUAUAAGUUUAAGGUUUACAAUGUGUUGACUUGAUAUGCUAUUAUAUGGCAAAACAAUUACCCAUGUAGCCUUAGCAAACACCUCCAUCAUGUCCUGUAAUUGCUAUUUCUUUUGUGAAGUGAGAACAUUUAAGAUUUAUUCUCUGGAGUUCCCGUCAUGGCUCAGCAGUAAACAAACCCAACUAGUAUCCAUGAAGAUGCAGGUUUGAUCCAUGGCCUCACUCAGUGGGUUAAGGAUCUGGCAUUGCUGUGAACUGUAGUGUAGGUUGCAGACGCCACUCAGAUCUGGUGUUGCUGUGGUUGUGAUGUUGGGCUCCGGUUAGACCCCUAGCCUGGGAACUUCCAUAUGCUGUGGGUGUGGCCCC